GGAAGUGUGACGGUCAGGACGACUGCGUUGACGGUCGGACGAGAUCAGCUGUUCUGACACAAGUAAGACUCCUGACACAAAAGAUUAUCCGUGGGCCAACAGACUAUCGUUUUAGGACGUUCAAUAGAUCUAUGUUGAUUCCAGCUUCCACUGUUUAAGCGGACAGUGCAUCCAGCAAGGUUGGCAAUGUGACGGGGAGGAGGACUGUACUGAUGGCUCUGACGAACAUGCCUGUCCAAUUGACGCUUUAAACACGUGCGGCCCCAAUCAGUUCCGGUGCGGCAAUGGAAGGUGUAUCCCGGAAACAUGGACGUGUGACUGGGAGGACGACUGCAGAGAUAGCACUGAUGAAAAUAGCUGUAGAGUUCCAGUGCCCUAACACCAAGUGUAUCGGUACUCGCCGGGUCUGCGAUGGAUCGGACGACUGCGGGGACAAUUCCGAUGAAGUCAACUGUAACACUGUAGUUACUGCUGAACGGAACGAAUACGGAUA